CGUUUUAGCACAGUCCCCCUAAUAACAAAGUUUACUGCCGGCUGCACACUGCCUGCACGUUAUGGCUUAAUUGCAGAUUUUUUGAAAAGACAAAAUAUGUUCAUAUCUGAGGAAUUAUGUCUUGCAGCCUACUAAAUAUGCUAAUGCAAUACUAAGCAGGGAUAAAGUUCUUGCCAUACCACCCAACAGUUGCGUGGGACACGCUGCCAAGUUAUUGUUAAUUGUAAAGCGCAAGCAGGCUUUGCAAUCCAUCUUAAUUGUCAUACUUACUCCAGGUUUGGCGAUAAGGCUAGAUGGGCUGUUUUAAAGUGACAAUGUUGACAAGGGGAAAGGGUGUGGGCCUGGGCUUGCGGUUCUGGAGGGGUUAUGCGCUCUGACCUGCCGUAGGUUGAUAUGGACAGUCUGCAAGGGGAUUUUAGUUGUCAUGGGGUCCCCAGGCAGUUGAAUAGAGUGACUGUCUGUCCUGCUUUUUCCUGUUAGGAUCCUGACACGUGGAGCAUUGAUGAACUCAGCAUAACGUUGAAUAGGAGCUUUUUGGCAGCUGAGACACAAGGGCUAAGCUGCAGGUCAGAGAUAACACUAGUGCAGAUCUCCUCAUGCACACAGUUAGUAGCAUGCUUUCUUCCCUCCUGAGUGCAGGAAAUAGCUCAUGUUAAAUACGUUCACUUUUCAGUUUUCCUUUCUUCUAAAAUGCAGCUUGACAGAUUGGGCUUUUCAGCCUCCCCCCCCCCCCCCAUUAUUAUUUUUUUUUUCACCACCUCUGCUUUCUACCUCAGAAAUACUCUUCAGGAAGCGGGAGUUAAUCUUGGUGAGGAAACGAUAAGGUGAUACUUGAUUUUUCAGGGGAAAGCAGAAGGAUAUGACUGCCCGGUAACUGCAGAGAAAUUUGCAGGGACGCCUUUUUUUAGGGCUUCCCUUUGCUUUUUCCUUUCUCCUCCUUAGAGCGGAGGACGGCAGGUCUGGCUGGAGGUAGGCGCGAGGGGUUUAAAUAGCAUCGGGGGCAGGAAGGAAGUGCUGGGAAGGUACAUCGAUAAAAGCCGCUUCCCCGCGCUUCUCUAUCAGCUCCCCGGAUCAGGUGAAUCGGGUCGUUCCUUUCCCAACUUUGAUGCAUCCUGGCUGGCACAGAAAUGUGUCUUUGAAGUUGUUUUAUAUUCGGCCAAGUUUUUUACGUGGUUCCAAAAGAAAGAAGGCGAGCAUUGUCUCUGCUAAAUGAUGUCAAGCCGGCAUCCUGUGUACCGAGACAAUGUCGAAGCCUCUAUCUGCUCUUGGCAUUGCUAUGGAGGUUGCCUCGGCUGUUUGAAGUGUUUACGUUAGGGAGGUUUGAACCUGGCGGAGAUUUGGGGAGGGGGAUCGCUCUUUAACAACCUGCAACAACGCGUGUGCGCUUGUUGGGUGGUAGCGAGCCUCGGAUCGCCCAACUCGAGUCACCGAGCGUGAGCUUGAUGCCGCACGGAGCCAGAAAUCCUCCCCGACACGGGUGGAAAUGUGCACGUUUGGGUUGGGCUUUGAGGCGGAGCGGGCCUUUUCCGUGGGAAGAGCCUCGCUGGUGGUGGGGGGCUCUUCUCCCAGCAAGGUGGUGCUCAGCACGAGCAGAGCAGAGCCAGGAUGAGACCCUAUUGUGCAGGCCUGUCUGCAUUAGCGGAUUCCUGUGCCUGUGUUUAGACUUUCAACGACUUAAUUGGGCCUCUGCAGCGAAGGGUUUGCAGCCAAGGGGCCAAGGCUAUUGUUUAUUCCUGUGGCUAUCACCGAGAGCCACGCCGACAGGGAGAAGGAUAGACAUAAAUACCGCCUUUGUUGCACUUUGGAUGCUCCUUUUGCUAUCCUGAACGAUUUCAUACUCGCUCUUGAGUGACUUCAGCAGCUUUUCCGAGAGAUGCAUGUUUUCACUUUCCUGAAGAGGAGGAAAGUGCCUAGAAAAUAGGAUGAGAGAACCCAUUUGCAUUAAAUGGCCUGAUGUGUGCAGGGUGUUGCUAUUCCCUCUUUUCUUCUUUCUGUCCGAGCAGAGGAGCUGUGGCCGCAGCCGGCACCGCUCGGAGCUCGGGGAACGCUUCCCAGCUGCUGCGGUGGGGUUGCAAGUUUUUCCUUGGAAAGCGGUACUGGGAGCUCUGUGUAUUUUCUCUGCUAAGUCACGAAUUCAUUAUGAAAUUUAUACGAUGAGAUCUAUGACUCUGCUAAUAUUUCCACAGAGCAGUUUGGCCUUUUCAUUCCAGAGAGGGUUGGACAGGAGCUAAGAAGAUCUGGCUUUUGUUUUCAACUCUUCUACAACUUCCUGUAUGACCUUGGGCAAGUUGCUUAAUCAAGCUGUCUCGAGCUUUCCUUUGUAGUAAUGUUACUUGCAAAUGUUAGAAGAGUCGUGAAUAUGCAUGGUCGAUUUAGUAGGUGAUGUUCAGGUACUAAUUUGAUACCGUACGGAAGAAAGCAGCCCUGUCAAAAAAGAAAACUGAAGUCUCGGUAUCUCACCUUGGCUUCAAAUGUAGAAUUCAAUGAAAUGCUGACAGCAGCAAGACCCUGGCUGAUCUGAAUCGGGGUUAGGUGCACGGAGUGCCAACCCUGGGCAAGAACUUUGCUAUCCAAAGGAAUGAAAUAAAUUGUGGAAAGUUACCUGAAUGGGGGUCAGAGAGAGCGUGUAGCAAGAACAUGUAAGACAGGACCUGAAGAAGAGGACAGAGAGGCACCAGGGACAUAGGUGGAUGUGGUAGGAUAAUGCUGAACGUGGAGUUUCCUUGUAGGAACGUAGCUCUUGCUGGCCCUGCAGGUAUGGGAGAGCAAAGCCUGUGCUCUACAUCCCCCAGGAAAGGGGAGCUCGUCCUAAGAGCUCAGCCUGUACAGUUAAAUAGCAUGCUCUAAUACAGUGACAAAGGCAGAUGACCCUCGGUUUGGGGGGGGGGGGCGAGCAAUUUGCUUAGAAGUGCUGGAAUGUGCACACACACAAAAUAAAAUGUGUGCAUGCUACAGAAAGCUCACACCGCUUUCAUUAAGGCAUUGGACAUCUAAGUACUUGAAGAUCUAUGAUAGUACGUGUUUUUUAAAGUGGCAAAAGUACGUUAAUAAAUUCUAGCAUAUCUAAGAACUUGAUCGCAGCCCAGUUUAUAGGGAGUGGUAAUAUCUUUAUUAAGCCAACUGAUAUAGUUGUAGGGGGAAAAACAGACGAGCCCUCUACAGGGCUCUUUGCUGUAAUUAAAAUAGGCUGCCUAUAUCUAGUUAAAUAAUAUGUAAACUCUUAAGGCCAAAUGCUGCAGCUAGUUACUAUUAGUGAGAAACUGUAAACUACAAAAUCCCAAACCAGGAAGUCCCAUGGAGAUAAAAAAAUAUCUAAAGAACAGUCAGAAAUGUGCCCUAUAUUAUUGAUGCUUCAAGCGGUAUUAAGUUGUGAAGGGCUGGAAUGUAAACAAAGUUACAGAUGUCUGAUGCCGUAGGUUGAAUUAGGGAAGCAGGAAAUGCACUCCUUCGCUUGGGAUGUUUGGAAAAAACACCUUCUGCCUGUCUUUAUCUGAAACAGUUUAAGUUUUGUUUAACCUACAAAGUAAUUUGAAGGAGACUAUGCCAGGCAAAGUUGUUUCUUCUAUUUAUAGUGGCAAAAAUAGGAGCUAUGCAAACUAACAGAACAUGGUCCCAGUUCACAGAGAGCUACCGUUUAGAAAAGACCUGAUGAGAGAGGGUAAUAGUACUGGUAGGUUGUGUCACAACGGUAAAAACCGCAGCUGUACACACGUAUGCUUACUCAGUUUAGGUAUGACUGCAUUUUAGAGAGACAAUUAUUUUAUGUAUCUUUAUAAUGUGAAGUUAAUGAUUAUUUUCCUCCCUCAGGGUGAAGUGCAAAGGAUCAGUUUUUGUUUCCUAGAAGAGGGUGGGAGAACAGCCUCAGUUGGCUAUAAACUCUCUGUGGCAUAAAUAAACUCAGAACCCACCUUUGCAGCUCCAAUGGGAGGAGAAGCGAAUUGUGGCAUUGCAGGAGAUCUUUAGCUGGUGAAAUACUAAAUGGAGUCUGCCACUCAAGCUGCUUUUGAGUGAGUGACUAGCCAAAGGACUUAUUUGGUAAGCCAAGCUGCCGUUUCCAAACCAAGGCAAAAAGAUGAAAGGAUAUUGCUUUCUGGACCCCACGCUACCGCCCACGCUACAGUUACAGUCAAGGCUUUUGCUCUGACUCACUUUCCAGCUGACCCUUCUGGGAGGAAGGAGAAAGUCCUGAGCUGUGUCCCAUCCCCGAGCAGCAGCGACGGGCAUUGCACACUGGCAGUGUUGGGUUGGCAUGGUUUGUGCAAAAAGCCAUCCCAGCUCUGGCGAUGCCUCAGCCAGAUGCA